UACGGAGGGGGCGAGCGUUAUUCGGAAUUAUUGGGCGUAAAGGGCGCGUAGGCGGCCUUGCAAGUCAAAGGUGAAAUCCCUCGGCUCAACUGAGGAACUGCCUUUGAAACUGCAUGGCUUGAGGCCGGGAGGGGGUGGCGGAAUUCCCAGUGUAGCGGUGAAAUGCGUAGAUAUUGGGAGGAACACCAGUGGCGAAGGCGGCUACCUGGACCGGUUCUGACGCUGAUGCGCGAAAGCGUGGGUAGCAAACAGG
rnacentral:rRNA from 1 species